UUCCUUUACCAGUCUCUGCAGUGAAGAUUUCGCAGAACACGCAUUAGGGAUUAUCGACAUACAGAAAAUUGUCACAUCAUUACUAACUGCGGCAAAGAUUAGCAGCGAGUGCGAGGACGUCGUCCGAUGCUCGGGAAACGCUGCAGGAGUUCGCCUGUUCGGAGUUGUAGAGUGCAACCACGACCUCUUCCCUGCCAGCACCUGAUCUAGCGUCGUUCGUCCCACGACGGCGAGAUCCAGUUCCCCUGUGGCCUCUUCCUUCGGCCUUGGUUGACAAAAAGCAG
rnacentral:rRNA from 1 species